UUUCCGAAAUUUGUGGUUCUU
ensembl:piRNA 21ur-6760 ncRNA